UACUAUAUCCAAUCAGAGUUGUAAUAUGCAAACUACUGUCCACAAUAUCUCCGGCUCUAGAGAAUAGCAAAUAUGAAGUCUUGUUUGCAUUCACGACUAAUUUCAAAUUAAAAAGAGCAUCUAGAAAUUCCUCAAAGGUUUGUUAUAUGAUUUCAGUGGCUGAGUGUGCAGUGUUUGCAAAGCAAUAAAGACGUGUAUCAUUCGCAUAGAGAUGGGCUUUACAAUUUGUUAUGAAGCAGAAUGACAAAGCUGCGUGUUCAGUAACAGCACAUUUUAAAUCUCAAUUGAAUGUAUAAUUAUCUAGAUACAUGGUUUUAAAAUAAUGUGCAUUACUUACGAGAAAUGAGCACAAUGAAUAUCUAUAACCCUCUACUAUACUGUGUUCAUAAUUAAUUUAUUACUUGGUGCUACAAACACAAAUGUUAUUGUGAUACGGUUACUGUUUUUUUUGUGAUGCAAAGAAAAGAGUUCUGCUAAUUGUGUUUUUCUCUUGUCUGUUUUAUUUAGUACACUAUGUUGCUCAUGGGUGCAUUGGCAAGGCCCAAGAUCAGCAGGAACAGCAGGAACAGCAGGAACAGCUGGCCAAACGUUCAUUUGAUGCCGACCCUCAGGAUGGUAACCCUAGAUUCAACUAGACUGAGGGCCACUCCAAAGCCAUGUAUUGUUCAACUGCGGCAACCAUUUGAAAAUAUACAUGCUUUGACGUCAUCGAUAAGUAAAUUGUGAAUUCACUUUGAAGAAUGACAGUUCUGAAUAAAUUUGCAUUUAAAAAUUAAAAA